rnacentral:rRNA from 1 species
GAUGAACGCUGGCGGCGUGCCUAAUACAUGCAAGUCGAGCGAACAGACGCGGCGCUUGCUCCUCUGACGUUAGCGGCGGACGGGUGAGUAACACGUGGAUAACCUACCUAUAAGACUGGGAUAACUUCGGGAAACCGGAGCUAAUCCCGGAUAAUAUAUUGAACCGCAUGGUUCAAUAGUGAAAGACGGUUUUGCUGUCACUUAUAGAUGGAUCCGCGCCGCAUGAGCUAGUUGGUACGGAAACGGCUUACCAAGGCGAGGAUGCGUAGCCGAAGGGAGAGGGGGGUAGGCGGCCGGAGAGCUGAGACGCGGACAUGGCGCCUACGGGAGGCAGCAGUAGGGAAUCGGCGGCAAUGGGGGAAAGCCUGACGGAGCAGCGCCGCGUGAGUGAUGGCGGUCUCCGGAGCGUAAAACUGUGUUAUGGGGGAAGAACAAAUGUGUAAGGAACCAUGCACGUCGUGACGGUACCUAAUCAAGAAGCCACGGCUAACUACGUG